rnacentral:rRNA from 1 species
UAAGCAUAUAAGUAAGCGGAGGAAAAGAAACUAAAUAGGAUUCCCUUAGUAAUGGCGAAUGAACAGGGAUCAGCUCAGUAUGGAAAUCGGGGCUUCCCAGCCUUGAAUUGUAGUCUCAAGAGGUAUCGCCAACGGAGGCGCAGAUGUAAGCCUCUUGGAAAAGAGCAUCAAUGAGGGUGAGAAUCCCGUUUGUCAUCUGCAGUCCCCCGUGCACGGUGUAUCUUCUAAGAGUCGCGUUCCUCGGGAUUGGAGCGUAAAGUGGGUGGUAAAUUUCAUCUAAGGCUAAAUAUGGGUUCGAGACCGAUAGCAAACAAGUACCAUGAGGGAAAGAUGAAAAGGACUUUGAAAAGAGAGUUAAAAGUGCCUGAAAUUGCUGAAAGGGAAGCGAAUGGAACCAGUGCUCUUGGCGAGAUUGUUGUGCGCUAUGGUGAUUGCUGGCUGCUUCAGCGCAAGCGGGGUAGUUGGUACUGAGCCUGCCGCGCGCAGUGUUUCUUACCUUGUGCGUCACCGUCGGUUCACAGGCGAGGAUACUUCUGAGGACAUGGUAACUCUUCCACGGAGGUGUGAAUGUCUUUGGUAAUACUCGUUUGUAGACCGCUCACCUUCGGGUUACGAUGACUAAAUGGUUCUAUUCGACCCGUCUUG